CGGUGAAUACGUUCCCGGGCCUUGUACACACCGCCCGUCAAACAAUGGAAGCUGGGGGUACCUGAAGUCUGUAACCGAUAAGGAGCGGCCUAGGGUAAAACUAGUAACUGGUGUU
rnacentral:rRNA from 1 species